GACGAACCGAGCGAACGUUAUUCGUAAUCACUGGGCUUAAAGGGCGCGUAGGCGGGCCAUCAAGUCAGGGGUGAAAGCCCCCAGCUCAACUGGGGAAGUGCCUUUGAUACUGGUGGUCUCGAGGGGGAUAGGGGCGUGCGGAACUUCCGGUGGAGCGGUGAAAUGCGUAGAUAUCGGAAGGAACACCGGUGGCGAAAGCGGCGCGCUGGAUCCCUUCUGACGCUGAGGCGCGAAAGCCAGGGGAGCGAACGGG
rnacentral:rRNA from 1 species